CUUUCCGCCCGGGCGACCGGCGCACGGGUGAGUAACACGUAUGCAACCUGGCCGUGACAGAUGGAUAACCGGGAGAAAUCCCGCCUAAUACAACAUAAUGCCGGGAGGGGACAUCCCCUGCCGGCCAAAGGGGGCGACCCCGGUCACGGAUGGGCAUGCGGCGCAUUAGGUAGUUGGUGGGGGCAACGGCCCACCAAGCCGACGAUGCGUAGGGGGUUCUGAGAGGAAGGUCCCCCACAUUGGAACUGAGACACGGUCCAAACUCCUACGGGAGGCAGCAG
rnacentral:rRNA from 1 species